rnacentral:misc_RNA from 1 species
GAUGAAGAACGCAGUGAAAUGCGAUAAGUAAUGUGAAUUGCAGAAUUCAGUGAAUCAUCGAAUCUUUGAACGCACCUUGCGCCCUUUGGCCAUUCCGAAGGGCAUGCCUGUUUGAGUAUCAUGAACACCUCAACUCUUCAUGGUUUUCCGUGAUGAGCUUGGACUUUGGGGGUCUUGCUGGCCUAUGGUCAGCUCCUCUAAAAUAAAUCAGCUUGCCAGUGUUUGGUGGGUAUCACAGGUGUGAUAACUAUCUACGCUUGUGGUUUUCCACCAGGUAACCUUCAGCAGUGGAGGUUCGCUGGAGCUCACAGAUGUAUCUCUCCUCAGUGAGGACAGCUCUUUGAAUGUUUGAUCUCAAAUCAGGUAGGACUACCCGCUGAACUUAAGCAUAUCAAUAAGCGGAGGA